AACCGUGACUCGGGGUGUCGUGUGGCCUGGCCACCGGCUGAGACUUUACCCGCAUUCACCUGAUCUGGGUCAUGCCAGCGUAGGGAGGUCACGAUGGAAGCGG
rnacentral:ncRNA from 2 species